GAUGAACGCUGGCGGCGUGCUUAACACAUGCAAGUCGAACGAUGAAGCCCAGCUUGCUGGGUGGAUUAGUGGCGAACGGGUGAGUAACACGUGAGUAACCUGCCCUUGACUCUGGGAUAAGCCUGGGAAACUGGGUCUAAUACUGGAUAUGACUUCUCAUCGCAUGGUGGGGGGUGGAAAGAUUUAUUGGUCUUGGAUGGACUCGCGGCCUAUCAGCUUGUUGGUGAGGUAAUGGCUCACCAAGGCGACGACGGGUAGCCGGCCUGAGAGGGUGACCGGCCACACUGGGACUGAGACACGGCCCAGACUCCUACGGGAGGCAGCAGUGGGGAAUAUUGCACAAUGGGCGCAAGCCUGAUGCAGCGACGCCGCGUGAGGGAUGACGGCCUUCGGGUUGUAAACAUCUUUCAGUAGGGAAGAAGCGAGAGUGACGGUACCUGCAGAAGAAGCGCCGGCUAACUACGUG
rnacentral:rRNA from 1 species